rnacentral:rRNA from 1 species
UACGUAGGGUCCGAGCGUUGUCCGGAAUUAUUGGGCGUAAAGGGCUCGUAGGCGGUCCGUCACGUCGGGAGUGAAAACUCGGAGCUCAACUCCGAGCCUGCUUCCGAUACGGGCAGACUAGAGGUAGGCAGGGGAGAGCGGAACUCCUGGUGUAGCGGUGGAAUGCGCAGAUAUCAGGAAGAACACCCGUGGCGAAGGCGGCUCUCUGGGACGUGACUGACGCUGAGACGCGAAAGCGUGGGGAGCGAACAGG